AAUAUCUGGAAAAUAAUUCGUUCACCACCUCCCCACGACUCUCGCUCACUCAUACGUUCACCACCUUCCUCCGUCACUGCGUCACUGUCCCUUCCUCCACCGGCGUUCCGCCGCUCACUGUGCCUUCACUCGCUCACCGUUCCUUCUGCACCGUUGGCAUCGCCCACCACUGUCAAAUACAAUUUUCGCUCACCGUUCGUUCUGCAUCGUUGGUGUCGCCCGCCACUAUCAAGUUCAAUUGUCAAGGCUAUAGCUUCUGAUUUGGUGUGGGAUUUCCAGUCCAAUCAUUAGGACGACAGAAACACGAAGAGGAGCUUCGGGAACGAAUCACUGUUAUGUGUUUUCACUGAGUCAGUAAGAACAAACAAGUGAACGGGUCGAAAAGCAAGUAACUGCACUGCAUGGACCCUCUGGAAGCUUUGGUCGCUCAAAUCCAAGGGCUAUCGAGCACUUCUAGCGAUGUCAAUCGCCUCCACAGUAUUUUGAAACAAGUCGAUGACUCGCUCCGAUCCAAGUCAACUUGCCUCCCCCCGCUUCUCACUCAGCUCGACCCUUCCAUUCACUCCCUCGGUUUUCUCUACAUCUUAGAUGCCUACAUGACUAGUCCGAUCACCAAAACGCAGGCAGAGACUGCCGUUCCAAUCGUUACCAGGUUCAUCGGCGCUUGCAGCGAUCAGAUUCGUUUGGCCCCUGAAAAAUUUUUAUCCGUGUGUAGGAGGUUGAAGGAUCAAGUGAUGUUGUUGGAAGCUCCAAUACGCGGAGUUGCUCCCUUGUUCACUGCACUUCGGAAAGUUCAGGUCUCUGCAGAGCACUUAACUCCCCUACAUUCAGAGUUUCUUUUGCUUUGCUUGUUGUCAAAGUGCUACAAAACUGGUUUAUCCAUAUUGGAUGAUGAUGUUUUUGAAGUUAACCAUCCACGAGACUUUUUUCUCUACUGUUAUUAUGGAGGAAUGAUAUGCAUUGGAAUGAAGUGCUUUCAAAAAGCAUUGGACCUUCUGCAUAAUGUUGUAACUGCUCCCAUGUCUGUCAUUAAUGCUAUAGCUGUGGAAGCGUACAAAAAGUAUAUCCUGGUUUCUCUCAUUCGUAAUGGGCAGUUCUCUACCAGUCUUCCUAAGUAUUCUUCUUCUGCUGCUCAAAGGAACCUGAAGAACUUCUGUCAGCCUUAUGUCGAAUUGGCAAAUACUUAUGGCAAUGGAAAAAUUGCAGAAUUAGAGGCUUUCGUCAAGACAAAUGCGGAGAAGUUUGAAUCUGACAGCAACCUUGGACUGGUUAAGCAGGUUGUAUCAUCCAUGUAUAAGCGGAAUAUUCAAAGAUUGACCCAAACAUACUUGACCCUUUCUCUCCAAGAUAUAGCCAACACAGUGCAGUUAAAUAGCCCCAAAGAAGCUGAAAUGCAUGUGCUACAAAUGAUUCAGGAUGGUGAGAUAUAUGCUACUAUCAACCAGAAGGAUGGAAUGGUGAGAUUCUUGGAGGAUCCUGAACAGUAUAAAACCUGUGAAAUGAUUGAGCACAUUGAUUCAUCAAUCCAGAGAAUAAUGGCACUAUCAAGGAAGCUAACCGGAAUGGAUGAACAAAUUUCAUGUGAUCAGUUGUAUUUGUCUAAGACCGGAAGAGAGAGACAAAGAUAUGACUUCGAUGACUUUGAUGUUCCACAAAAGUUCAACAUUUAAGGGGAUGAACAACGGAGAAGAAGAUGGAAGAUCUUCCUUAUUGUCACUGUUAUCGCAAAAAUGACUCAAUUGUUCUUAUUCCUAAAACCCUACAUUUUUUUUGGUAGGAUUUGGAAGGUCGUUCUUAGAAUUCAAGACGUUGAAGAAAUGUCAAGGGGUCAAUCAUCUUCUUCUUGCUCUCACAAUUCAUGGGUGAUGCGAAAUCAGAGGUUGUCCUGUAAUAGUGGUGGCUAUAGAGGCUUGGGUGAAGCACCCACAUGCAAUUGCGGAGUGGCAACUGUGUUGAGAAUGGCUAGAACCAUCAAGAAUGGUGGGAGACAGUUUAGGGGAUGCUCUAAUUUCAAGUGUGAAAGUGAAGUUUCUUAUGGGUGCAAUUUCUUUAAAUGGUGCAUUGAAGAUGGUGAUGACGAAAAGGAUGCAACUAUUCUGAGGCAAAGGCGGAAGAUUUAUAUUCUAGAAAAAAGAAGUUAAGGGAUGGAGAAAGUGCGUCAACUUGUUAAUUGGAUUGGUGUGCCUAUAGGCUAUAGUUAAUCUGAUUUUAGUAUACAUGAUGUUGAUGAAGAUUGAUAUUGUAGAGAAAGAUUAGUUGUUUAAAGUUGUUGGAUUUCACUUUAGGUGUUUG